UACAGAGGUCUCAAGCGUUGUUCGGAUUCAUUGGGCGUAAAGGGUGCGUAGGCGGCGCGGUAAGUCGGGUGUGAAAUCUUGGAGCUUAACUCCGAAACUGCAUUCGAUACUGCCGUGCUUGAGGACUGGAGAGGAGACUGGAAUUCCCGGUGUAGCGGUGAAAUGCGCAGAUAGUCGGGAGGAACACCGGUGGCGAAGGCGGUUCUCUGGGCCUGACCUGACGCUGAGGAGCGAAAGCGUGGGGAGCGAACAGG
rnacentral:rRNA from 1 species